rnacentral:rRNA from 1 species
UACGGAGGGUGCGAGCGUUAAUCGGAAUAACUGGGCGUAAAGGGUACGCAGGCGGGCUUUUAAGUGAGUUGUGAAAUCCCAGGGCUUAACUUGGGAAUAGCAUUUCAGACUGGGAGUCUAGAGUACUUUAGGGAGGGGUAGAAUUCCACGUGUAGCGGUGAAAUGCGUAGAGAUGUGGAGGAAUACCGAAGGCGAAGGCAGCCUCUUGGGAAUGUACUGACGCUCAUGUGCGAAAGCGUGGGGAGCAAACAGG